rnacentral:rRNA from 1 species
CCUACGGGUGGCUGCAGUGAGGAAUAUUGGUCAAUGGGCGCAAGCCUGAACCAGCCAUGCCGCGUGCAGGAAGACGGUCCUAUGGAUUGUAAACUGCUUUUAUACGGGAAGAAACCUCUUUACGUGUAGAGAGCUGACGGUACCGUAUGAAUAAGCACCGGCUAACUCCGUGCCAGCAGCCGCGGUAAUACGGAGGGUGCAAGCGUUAUCCGGAAUCAUUGGGUUUAAAGGGUCCGCAGGCGGUUAUAUAAGUCAGUGGUGAAAGCCUACAGCUCAACUGUAGAACUGCCAUUGAUACUGUAUGACUUGAAUUCGAUCGAAGUGGGCGGAAUGUGACAUGUAGCGGUGAAAUGCUUAGAUAUGUCACAGAACACCGAUAGCGAAGGCAGCUCACUAGGUCUGGAUUGACGCUCAGGGACGAAAGCGUGGGGAGCAAACAGGAUUAGAUACCCUUGUAGUC